rnacentral:rRNA from 1 species
UACGUAGGGGGCUAGCGUUGUCCGGAAUCAUUGGGCGUAAAGCGCGUGUAGGCGGUUUGGUAAGUCCGCUGUGAAAGUCGGGGGCUCAACCCUCGAAAGCCGGUGGAUACUGUCGGACUAGAGUACGGAAGAGGAGAGUGGAAUUCCUGGUGUAGCGGUGAAAUGCGCAGAUAUCAGGAAGAACACCCGUGGCGAAGGCGGCUCUCUGGGACGGUACUGACGCUGAGACGCGAAAGCGUGGGGAGCGAACAGG